GUUCCCGUACGAUCACCGAAGUUAAGCAUUGUCGGGCCUGGUCAGUACCUAGAUGGGUGACCGCUUGGGAAUACCAGGUGCUC